GCCGGCAUAGCUCAGCUUGGUAGAGCAACCGCCUUGUAAGCGGUAGGUCGUCUGUUCGAUUCAGACUGUCGGCACCA
rnacentral:tRNA from 4 species